UACGUAGGGGGCAAGCGUUGUCCGGAAUCAUUGGGCGUAAAGAGCGUGUAGGCGGCUCGGCAAGUCGGGUGUGAAAGCCCUGGGCUCAACCUAGGAAGUGCACUCGAAACUGCCUCGCUGGAGUGCCGGAGAGGAAAGCGGAAUUCUCGGUGUAGAGGUGAAAUUCGUAGAUAUCAGGAGGAACACCGGUGGCGAAGGCGGGUCUCUGGGCCGAUACUGACGCUGAGGAGCGAAAGCGUGGGGAGCGAACAGG
rnacentral:rRNA from 1 species